rnacentral:tRNA from 1 species
UCCGAUUUAGCUCAGCAGGUAGAGCGGCAGAUUGAAGAUCUGCGCGUCGCAGGUUCGAUCCCUGCAGUCGGAACCA